AUUGAACGCUGGCGGCAGGCCUAACACAUGCAAGUCGAACGGUAACAGAAAGCAGCUUGCUGCUUUGCUGACGAGUGGCGGCCGGGUGAGUAAUGUCUGGGAAACGGCCUGAUGGAGGGGGAUAACUACUGGAAACGGUAGCUAAUACCGCAUAACGUCGCAAGACCAAAGAGGGGGACCUUCGGGCCUCUUGCCAUCGGAUGUGCCCAGAUGGGAUUAGCUAGUAGGUGGGGUAACGGCUCACCUAGGCGACGAUCCCUAGCUGGUCUGAGAGGAUGACCAGCCACACUGGAACUGAGACACGGUCCAGACUCCUACGGGAGCCAGUGGUGGGUAAUAUUUCGCUAUGGGCGCAAGCCUUAUGCAUCCAUCCCGCGUGUAUGAAUAAGACAUUCUGGUUGUAAAGUACAUUCAUCGGGGAGGAAGGUAGUAAAGUUAAUACCUUUACUCAUUGACGUUACCCGCAGAAGAAGCACCGGCUAACUCCGUG
rnacentral:rRNA from 1 species